rnacentral:rRNA from 1 species
GACGAACCGUGCGAACGUUGUUCGGAAUCACUGGGCUUAAAGGGCGCGUAGGCGGGCUGCCGCGUCCGGGGUGAAAUCCCACGGCUCAACCGUGGAACGGCCUCGGAUACGGGCGGUCUCGAGGGAGGUAGGGGCACGCGGAACUGUGGGUGGAGCGGUGAAAUGCGUUGAUAUCCACAGGAACUCCGGUGGCGAAGGCGGCGUGCUGGACCUCAUCUGACGCUUAGGCGCGAAAGCCAGGGGAGCAAACGGG